UACAAUGUUGCUUGUGUGUCUGUCCUUGAGUGCAGGAGAAGCAUUGAUGGAACCAUUGAAGCUGGAGCUGGAAGCAGUGGAGACCCAGAUUUGCGAUCUCGAGCGCAGCACCGGGAACAAUGGGCCUUGCUUGGUGUUUCCGGUGCUGCAGCUCACUCAUCUGAAGUAAGUGUGCCAAACAAUCACAACACUCCGUCUACCUCAACCCUGUGUGUUUCUCUGCCCAGGCAAAGCACACUGAGGACGCGGUUCGCCCACGCGUCGUGCACGUCGACACCCGGCUACCACGGUCCCUGGGUGCAGCCGUGUUAGGUGCUUACCAGGUCUCGGGGCAGAACGUCUCCUCCUCCUCCCAUGUUCGAGAUCUCCACGGAGAACCGAUUCGCCCCUCUCCGCCAGAUGGGUCGCAAUGUGGCUAUCAUUGGUGACUCCAUCGUUCGCCAUGUCCGCGUCGUUUCCACCAAAGGUAACAAAGUAUGCACUCACUGCUUCCCUAGUGCUCGCGUUAAGAAUUUUUCUGCCCAGGUAUCUACUAUCCUGAGCGCUGGUGAGAGCCUCGGUGCUGUCGUCCUCUACAUGGAGAUGAAGACACCGGGCUGCGUCAGACGGAAAUCCUGAAGAGUGACUUCAGGAGUCUGAUCGAGAAGGUUCGACGCACCCUGCCACGCAGAUCAUUGUUUCUGGACCGCUUCCUACCUACUCCAGAGGAAAUGAAAGAUUCAGUAAACUUUUUGCUCUAAAUGAAUGGCUAUAAACAUGGUGUAAAGAACAAAAAAUGCUCUUUGCCAAUAACUGGAACCUUUUCUGGGAGCGUCUUAGGCUUUUCUGUGCUGACAGGUGCACCCCAGUCGAACUGGAGCUGAACUCUUGUCGAACAACAUCUCCAGGACGCUUCGGAGUGUCUGACUAGAGCAAGCACAUGGCACAAAUCACAUGUGGGGCACGAUGAGACUGCAAAAGAUCUAUCCUGUCUGCGUUCAUGCCAAGAAAACCACACACACACCCACACAUCCCCUCUGUACCUAUACCAAUAAUGGGUGACCUGUCCUAAUAUACCCAUCAUUGAAGCUUUUGUUGGAUGAAACUCUCCGAGCCCUUUACUCUCUUACUGGAGUCUCCAGUUUUCAAGGACUAUCAGAACAAUCCAGAGGUUCCACCUCUACAACAAUAUCCUCAUAAAUCACUUAAAUUCUACAGGUGCUCAGGGACAGGCUCUACAAUGGUUUAAGUCAUACUAAGCUGACCGUUACCAGUUUGUGAAUAUUAAUGGACAGACUUCAUCAGUCAGCCCAGUAAAGUAUGGGGUGCCUCAAGGAUCAGUUUUAGGCCAUUUUUACGACAUUCAUGCUACCCCUGGGAGACAUUAUUAGAAGACAUGGGAUCAGCUUUCACUGCUAUGCAGAUGAUACUUGAUUGUAUAUUUCAAUUAAACCUGAUGAGAUGUCUGAACUGUCUAAGCUAACUGAGUGUAUUAAAGAUGUUAAUGACUGGA